CCCGGUGGCUUCCUGGGCGUGUUGGCCAGAUCUGCCUGUUUCACCCCCACCCCAAAUCUCCAGUGAUGUGUUUGCCCCAGAAAGACGAGGGAAGGGAGAGGAGAACUGUUGGAAGCUGCUGAAAGCGCUUUGAUCUUGAUACUUUUCACUGAGAAGUCUAAAAGUACGGAGUCCAACUUCCUGACUUUACAGACUGAGAAACUGGGGCUUACUAAAUUGUGACCAGGCCUGACCUCUUAUUCACCUGGUAGAACCCGGGCCUCCUGGGCCUCCUGCUCCUGGGCAGCCGCCUACAAUUUUACCCUGCAACUGCCAGGGCCUGCUGUGGAUCCCGAGGUGAGGGUGAUGGACUAUAGCCCCUCCCCCCUCGCCCCGUUUCCUCAGCGGCUCUCCCUUCCGGAAUGUUAAGGCAGGAGCCCAUCUGGUCAUUGUUACCUGCUUAUUAUUAUUUUGUUAUUGUCAGUGCUCAACGGGCCUCCUAAAAGACUGGCUGGGGAUGGGAUAUGAGGGUGUAGGGAGAGGGCAACCUCUCCAACACUCCCUAGGGAUUGUUGGGACAUCUAGGUCUGGCUGACAGCUCCUGCACACAACCCCUCAGGUAGACUGUGAAGGCUCCAAGGACCCUUCUUCCAAGGACUCCCUCUGACCUUUCACUUUCACCUUCUCUGAGCCUUGGCCUCUCAGCUCGUAGCUGCCUCAGGGCCUUUGCAUGUACUAUGCCCUUUGCCCGUGCUCCCUUCCCCACUGCAAAUCCUAAUGUCCUCAGAGAGGCCACUCCCACUCAGUGUAUUUCCAUUGUAUCCUUGGAAGCAUUCAGAAUGACAGGAUGGACCAUAAAUUUCCGGAGGGCAAGGACCUUUAUCUAUCCCGAACCUGUUGGUCACCAACAUCCAAUACAGCACCUGGCUCAGUGUUGAAGGAGAGUGCUGCCUGGCCUAGUUGCGGUGGCAGUCUCUGGCCUCAGUUUGUCUGACUCACCUGUAGGCAUGAACAUUCCCAGUCCCCAACCCUCGUCUCCUACCUCCCUACCUCAUCUGGCCCUGCCCCUGAUUGGGCCCUGGAGCAAGAAGGCCAUGAAGGAAACUGUCACCAGGAGCAGGAGGCCUGCCCUGGUGGGCAGUGGCCCAGGGGUGUGAGUGUGUCUAUAUCCACACAAAUGUCUGUUUGUGCCUGUGUUGUGUUCAUGUAUGGGUCAGUGUACUCAGGUGUGUUCACACACAAGGGCAGGUGUCUAUGUGCCAGUGUGGGUUCAUGCACGUAGAUCUGUGUGCCUGUAUGUAUACACAUAUAUGUAUACUUGUAUAUACGUAUGUGUCCAUUUGUGUGUUUCUAGGCACGUAGGUCUCUGUGCCCUCCAGACCUGUCCUCUCAGGUCCCAGCCUGGGCAAAGGGACCCUUGAUGAGAGGGGAUCCUGUCCCCAGCCUGUUGCUAGCCUUGCCCUGGGACCCUGCUCUGGGCCUGUGCAAUGGGGCUAGAUUGGAGGAGAUGGGGCCAUGCUUCUCUCCAAGGCAGGACAUGAGUGGGUGGCCUAGAUAGCCUCCACCCUGACCUUGGGCCUUGACCUUAAUAAGUGGGUGAAUGGUCUGGUGAAAUAUGGGCAGAACCUACCUAAGCUGAAAAACUGACCAGCAAACAGGCCUUGGGAAAUGGAGGCACAGGGAACCCAAGGCAAUUCACCUCUCUGAGUCUCAGUUUCCUCCUCAUGAAAAUGGAGUGAGUAAUCUCACCUCCCUCGUGGAGUAUUGUGAUUUUUGUUUCUUUUUCUUUUUCUUUUUUUUUUUUAUUCAGUAAACUCUACCCCCUUCAUGGGGCUAGAACUCACGACCCUGAGAUCAAGAGUCCACAUGCUCUACUGACUGAGCCAACCAGGUGCCUCAAAAAAUACUGUAGUUUUUAUUGGAUUUAAAGGAAUAGAGCUCAUAAGUGCUUUCUAUAAUUGUUUUAUGUUAUUAUUAUAAGGCUAGCCUUAGCUGUGUAUGGUUGUUUGGCCUGGAGCUCCUUCGGCCAGAAGUGCCCUUCUAUCCAACAGGCAAAUUGCUACUCUUGCUUCAAAACCCACUGUCUCCUCCUCCAAGAAGUCUUCCCUAUCCACACCCUCAAGGAGUCCCCUAAGCCACCCCCCACCCCCCACCGUCUGGCUGAGCCCGUCCACCAUCUGUAUUGGGCUCUGUCUGCCCCAGAUGGGGCAGGGGAGAGUCCUGUAAGCUGGGUAGGCAGGACCUGUCUUGGCCUCUAAGUAUGGGGAGCUGCCCUGGGCAGACUCUGCCAGCCCCACUUUUCAAGGAGUUGAAAAACUGGCUCCUUCAGUCUCUGCUGUGCACCUGCUGUUCCCUCUGACCCAACACCUUUUCCUACCCUCUCCUUUCUCCUAGCCAGAAAGCCCUCUGGGACACCCUAAUACUGCUCUUCCAUUGGGACCAAUCCUAUCCCCACCUCAUCAGGCAGUUCAAUAGGAGGCCUGAAUCCAUCAACCAGCCAUAUGCAGUGAACUAGGGGUAACUCCUAUUCUCUCAUUCAUUCGACAGAUACUGACUGAGCACCUGCUGUGAGCCAAGCGAUGGGGACACACACGAGUGACACAAACACCCUCACCCCGCACCCGGUCUGAAAGAGGAACCUGUCGAACGCGGCUUCAAGGAGGCUGAAGGGUGCCCCCUCCAUGGACGGGGGUAUGUUUUAGAGUUGGGUGAUCUGGGAGGGGCACCCUGGGAGGUGAUGCUGAACGAAGGAGAAGCUGGAGCAAAUCUUGAGCUAAUUUGAAGGCCCAACAUCCCAGACUGUGGGAACAGCAAAAGCAAACGCCCUGGGGCAGAAACCAGCUGGCCACAUUGAUGGAGAGAGGCAGGUGGCGCUGGAUUGGGUGAGCCAGGGGAAGCCAGAGGGAGAGAAGGAAAGCAAGGGUGCAGGACUUCUACAGAACCCGGUGGUGUUUGUCCCAAGAGUAGUGGAAGUGGCUGUAGAAGAUGGGACUGAGGGAGAAGUCGGGAACAGGGCUCGGCCUGGACUCUGCAUUUUCGCCCUUCCUCUCCCAGCCCCUCCAGGAGUCUCAGGACAUUAUCUCACUUCCCAGAUCAGCGUCCAGGGAGGGUGCGGGACCCACCCGGUCGAAAGAAUCCCCAACCCCUACCCCCACCCACCCAUCCCCGUUUGGAACGGAAGCUGAAACUCACCCCCACCCCUCUCCCAGCCACGGCUCUAAUCUCUGCCGCUCUGGCGCCUCUUUCUCGAGAGCGAAGAGCUUACCCUUCUUGUUUAAAGCGACCUGCAACUCGGUUUAAUGUUUAGUCUUUAUUUGAAGACCCAGAGAACUAAAAUCUACUCGAUGAAACGGAAAGCCCCAAAGAAAGAGAAAGAAGGAGUUAAUCAGGAAGCAGAAAGGGGUGAGGCGGAGGGGACCUCUCCAUGGGGAGGUACGCGGGGAAUGUCCCGCGGCGCUCGGGACACCGCGGGGCUGGGUAGAGUUUAUGGGGAACGUCCUCCGACACUUAGGACCCACCGGCUGUUGGGGGCGGGGCUUGCGAUCUCAGUCCCCGGGUGACGGGACCCCGCUAGGGGGCCGGGGGAGGGGCGCCGGCCUUGGGCCGGGGGCGCGUCGGCCCCGGCGCAUUCCUGAGGAUCAGGUUACCGGCCAAGGCGGCGGCCCCUCCCCUCCCUUCCAGCCUGGCUUCCGCCCUCGCCAGGGGCAGGAACCACAGUCACCUCCCCCGUCCUGUGCAGGUGCUUGGCCAGCCGCAGGGAGGGGAUCCACACCCUGUCCUCUGGGCCGGCACUGGCGCUCUCCAGUCUCACAAGACCAUUUUACCGACGAGGAAACCGACGCGUCCUCAGCGCCUUUUCAGCACUGGUGGAACCAGACUGAUAGAGCUUGCUUUACGACCCAUGGCCCAGUUGACUCCACCGAGGGUGCAGUGUCGACAGCCUCUCGUAGGCAGGCCGGGAAGAGCGGCUCAGUCUAAGUCCAGUGUUCAUUGAUUGUCCUGGGUGAGCCCAGAAGGGCGCCGGCUCAAGGAGAAAACCACGCCUCACAACACCUUCCCUACCAGAUUCCUGCGCUCAUCCAGGGAACUCUGCUGUAUACCCAGGCCCAGGUUAGGCCCUUUCACGGGCAGACUUUAAGAAACCAGAAGGUUUGGGGGUCAGAGGGUGGUGAGUCGGGCUUCACUAAAGCAACUUCAGAAGCUGAUUUGUUUGAUUUUGUUUUUCUUUUGGCCAGCCUCAAGCACCAUCAGCCUCA
rnacentral:lncRNA from 1 species